UUUUUUUUUUUUUUUUUUUCUGCACGCAUGACAUAUAGAAGUUCCUAGGCCAGGGACUGAACCCAUGCCACAGCAGUGACAAUGCUGGAUUCUUAACUACCAGGCCACCAGGGAACUUCCCCAAGUCACUAUUGCACAUAGACUUCUUCAUGCUGCCCAGUCUACACCCACUGUCUCACUGCCUUGAGUCAAGAACUCUCUCAGGCCGACUGACCAACCAUGGAAAAUGCUGCACCCAGACCCCUGGUCCUAGCUGGGCCCCCCCGACCUGGGGCCAGGGGUGCUGGCUGCCAUAGCUCACAGCCCCCGCUUCUCCAACAGCAGACCUUGGCCAUUGGAGGAAUGGCUGCCCUGUUUCUCCAAGGUGGGCUUAUUCCAUGGUGCUACUGACUCUCAGAACUCCUCCAGGGAUCGGGCCGACCCAAGCUCUCUGUCCUUAAGUCACAACACGUGGAUCCUUGUCUCCAGAACCAGCCUGAGAUGCCACCCCUUGGAAUCAACUGGGGCGACAGUUCUUUAAACACAUUUGCUGGGAAUCUACUGAAAUCCUAACUCUGGGAGUGCGCAGUUUCAGCAAGGAGAAUCUGAAAGAGCAACAGAUAUGUAGCCAAGAUUGGAGAAAAGGAUCCCUGUGCGGGGAGUGGGGGUGGUCCUAUAACACCCAUUUUACAGAUGAGAAAACCAAGGCUCAGCUUAAAACCAUAGAAGUAGAUUUGAACCCUGCUCUCUCAGACCCCAAAGCCUUGACUCUUGGCUCUGUUCCUGCUGCUCAGCUGUGAGGAGCUUUACAGGCCUGGCCGGCAUCAGAACAAGGGGGUUUUCAGGGAUGGCUCCACAUAGAACAUUCUUCCAGGCUUCACCUGCCUUGUGCACAAACGGCCUGGUAGGCUCCAAAAUAGAACUGCUAAUGUGGUCAGGAAGCCUGGUCCCUGGGGGGCACGGCUCUUCAGCCAGCCGGCGCUAGGGCACACUGUGGCGCCUGGGUCCCACCAGGGCCAGCCCGGCAUGAAGAAAAUAUGGGAAGCAGCCCUCCGACAGGCCUCCGGGGACUUCCUGUCCACCUGUGAGGAGGGGAACAACAGGAAGCCUGCCGCAAGGCCCGGGGCUGGGAGGCGGCUGAUAGAGAAGGGUGAGGUCCACCCGCCUUCCCCUCUCAGCCCAUUCUCAGGAGUGGACGGACGCCCCCACAAAGGUUGGGGCAGAACAGGAAGCAUUUGCUAGGCAUCUUCUGUAUGCCUGGCCCUGUAUGAGCACCCGAGGAAAGAGGCAAACGAACAAGAUACAGGCUCUAUCUUCCAGAAGUCUACUUUUACGUACUCAUCCACACGUUCAGUGCAAGAGACAUUUACUGAGCACCUACUGUGUGCAAGUUCCAUUCUAGGAACUGGGGGAACAAAUAAGACACGUCCCAACCCUCAAGAAGUUUCACUUUUCAGUCAUCCAUUCAGUCAUCCAUUCAGUCAUUCAUUCCUUCACUCGGCUCAGCAUUGAAUGAGCACCUACUGUAGGCCAAGACUCUGUGCUGGGAACUGGAGAGACAGAGGUGCACAAGGCUCUGAUGAUGGGAAGUUUCACUGAGUCAUUCCUUCAUUCCCUCUUUCUUUCAUUCAGCUUCGCAGGCAAUACUGAGCACUGCUGUAUGCCUGGCUGUGGACAGAGAUGUGAAAGAAGACACAUCCUCCUGGAGAGGUUGCUGGAUCGCUCAUUCAUCGUCUGCCCACAGAAUGAAUGGGCCGCAAGCACUUAGUCACGUGAUAAGGAUAAAACAGUAAGGCCCAGUCGCUGCUUGUGGUCUCACUCGCCCAGUUCUUCCUUCUUCCUUCCUUUGGCACAAUGAACAUGUAUUGAGUGCCUACUGUGUACCAAGGGUGCAGAGAUGCACAGGAGAGAAUUUCCAUCCUUCAAGAGCCAACUGUCAUCCUUCACUCACUGUUUUGGGGUUCGAGUCUCCAAACAUAUAUUGGGUACCUAUUAUAUGUCAGGCCCUUGGGAGGCAGAUGAAGGAGCCCUGGGCGGGCCUGGCCCCAGAGGCACAGCAAAGCUGGUGCGCGCACAGGGCUGAGGGAUGCCUCAGCUCCUUCAUCAGAACCGUGAGGCCCCUGCUGCUGGUUCCUCAAAAGUGAGGCACCCUCCCCAUGAUCUGCAGAGUGGGGGCGAUGGGGGGGAAAUCGGCACCCAGGGGAGAGAAACCACUUGACACAAACACCAAAGGGGAGAAGUGGUGAGUGAGAAGGAGAUGAAUCAGACGGCUCAGUGAGAAUUUUCAAGAACUCAAGGAAUAUUCUAAGUUUAGAGGAGUAAUCAGCCCACAGCUUCCGACCGUGGCAUUUUCAACACCAGCCGAAUGGCAGCCUGUUCAUUUCCCUGGGAUCCUCCACCCUCUCAGGCCAAAAGCUUGUCAGGAAAACAUCCGGCUGUGCAUCUAGUGCUCCCUGGAGCUAUGGGGAGGUUUAUGUAGGUUCGUUCACCCACGGGAAGCCCUUGGCACAGGGCCUGGCCCAUUGUAAGUGCUCAGUAAAUGUCACCUUGUAAUUUUACUUUUACUUCUGGCCGUGGCAGCUUUGAAACAUGGAUUCUUUGACACUCCUCUCAUUGAGAGGUGGGGUCCAUGUCCUCUCCCUCUGAAUCUCGGGGGGCCUGUGAUGCUUCCAUCAACAGAGAAUAGCAGCAGAUGCCUGAUGCUGCAUCCAUCAUAAAGGGUGAUGCAGAAUCUGUCCUCUUAGCACUGGGAGCCCUGAGCCACCACGCUGUGAGGAAGCCCAAGCUACAGCAGGUGCCUGGACAGCAGCCCCAGAAAGCUGGGCCUCCAGGUUGUCAGAGGCACCAGACAAGUGUGUGAAGAAGCCUCCAGCCCCAGCUGCUUAGGGCUCCCAGCUGACACCCCACAUAUCACGGAGCAGCUGUCCCCACAGAGCCCUGCCCAGUUUCCUGACCCAGCAAAUAUUAUGAGUCCAGUAAAUAGGGGUUGACUUGUACCCCUAUGCUUUGAGGUGCUUCCCUGUGACAACUGUUACCUGCCUCUCCAAGGCUCCACCAACCCAGAAAGCAUGGAAGAACUCCAUGAACUGUAAAAUCCUGUGCUCAGAGGAGCCCCUGGCAUCACCACUGAGGACCCAGGAGGGCUCUGUUGCCUUCUGGACCCCACUUAACUCUGCAGCCCCGUAGCCAAGGCCACCCCCACUGCCCCUGCCAGCCUAGUCUGGGAGACUCUGCAGGCCACUGGGGCUGACCUGCACUCACAUGGCAGGGCGCCGCUUUGUUCCCAAGCUGGGACUUAGGUCACCCAUCUGGGAGGAAUGGACUGGAGGACAAAGGCUGCUUUCACCGGGCCCAGGCUGCUCUCAGCAAACACAGGCGGUUGGGAGCAGAGCAGGGAGCAGGCGGCCCCCGGCACACCCCUCCUGGGAAGAUGGCCAAUGGGCCUGCGAGGGCCCAGGCGAGCUGGGGCAGCACUGGCGUCUGGCAAGGGCCUUCCCUCCCUUUCUGGGUCUUUUCCAAUCACACCUAAAACAAGGACAAGGCAGAGUACAGAGAGGCAAUGAGGAAACAUUGGGUACGUUCAAUAGCUUUUGAGAGGUUAAAAAAAAAAAAAAAAAAGGCCUCCCUAGGAUUCCUGUCAAAUAUAAACAUUAACAAAUAUGGGGUGGCGGAGGGUGGGGGGGCAUUCCAAGGCAGCCUGGAAUCAAACUCCUGCUCCAUCAUGAGCACACCUCAGAAUGAGACUGUAUUUGGAGAGAGGGUCAUUGAAGAGGUAAUUAAGUAAUUAGAAAAGGAGGCCGCUGUCCUUAUCAAGAGGCACUCCAGACACACAGAGAGACACCAGGGGUGCACACAGAGGCACUGCCAUAUGAAGACAAGCAUGAAGGCAGCCCCUCUGAAGUCAAAGAGAGAGGCCUCGUGAGAAACCAAACCUAAUGACGCCUUGAUCUUGGACUUCUGGCCUCCAGAACUGUGGGGAAAUUAAUUUCUGUUGUUUAAGCUGCCUAGUCUAUGGUAUUUUGACAGGGCAGCUCCAGCAAAUACAUGCACUGACCCACAGGAAGAGGUGCAUGAAGAUUUCCUAUGAUUAUAUUAUCACAGUCACAUUGUAACAAUGAAAUAAGGUGUUAACAUGAAUGAGUUGGUAUUAAUACAGGUAGGUUUAAUACAAAAUAUUAAUAUGACAUUAAACAGAAUAUGUCUGCAUUGUCCCUCCCUACCUCAGAAUCUCUACAUAAAACAUCAGAUUUCAUUUAAAAGAAAGCAAAGACCUGGGCAUCUACCCAGAGAAAACCAUGACUCAAAAAGAUACAUGUACUCCAGGGUUCACUGCAGCACUAUAUACAACAGCCAAGACAUGGAAAAAACCUAAAUGUCAAUCAACAGAGGAGUGGAUAAAGAUGUGGUACAUAGACACAAUGGAAUAUUACUAAGCCAUUAAAAGGAAAGAAAUAACGGCACUUGCAGCAACAUGGAUGGACAUAGAAAUUAUCAUGCUAAAUAAGCGAAGUCAAUCAGAUGGCAAGACACCAACAUCAUAUGCUAUCACCUACAUGUGGAAUCUUAAAAAAAAGACACAAGAACUUCUUUGCAGAACAGAUACUGAUUCACAGACUUUGAAAAACUUAUGGUUUCCAAAUGAGACAGGUUGGGGGGUGGGGGGAUGCACUGGGGAUUUGGGAUGGAAAUGCUAUAAAAUUGGGUUGUGAUGAUCAUUGUACAACUAUAAAUGUAAUAAAAUUCAUUAAGUAAUUAAAAAGAAGGAAUAGCCAUCAUCAAAAAGUUUAUUGAAAAAAAAAAAGGAACUAAACUUUGAUUCAAAUCUUCCAUAAAAGAAAGGAUUUUCAAUUUAGGAAGCACAAAUAAAGAGCUGGGUCCCAAAGGGAACUGUAAAAAAAAAAAAAAAAAAAAAAAGAAGAAGAAGAAAGCAAAGCAUUUUCUCCCUUUUUUGGCCAUGCCUGUGGCAUGUGGGACUUCCAAGGCCAGGGACUGAACCCACAACCCAAGCCACAGCAGUGACAAUGCCUGAUCCUUAACCCACUGAGCCACCAGGUAACUCCAGCAAAGAGUUUUCUGAGACUAAUAAUCUGGACCAGAUUCCUAGACAGCUUUCUCCUCUGUGCAUGACUUCACCCUGGAGGAAAUAUUUACAUUGUGUUCUAGCUCCAGACAAAGGUACCUCAAAUCUCCCACUUCUUCCAGAACUUUCAAGCCUCCAUAUUUACUGGUCCCACAACCUGAAUGUCCCUUCCCCCUUGUCCUACUCAGGCUUUAAGACCCAGCUCAGGGCCCAGCCCAGAAAAGGCACUGGAUAUACGUGUACAGCAAGCCAACUCAUGGAUGAAGAUGCUAGGCCCAGAGAGGGGCACACGUCACAAGGUCGAGCAGGACCAGACCCCAGCAUCCUGGCUCUCAAGCCAGUGAUGCUCCCCCUCCAGCCUAGGCUGCCUCCACCUUCCCCCUGCCCAUGCUGCCACAGACAUGAAAACCCUGCCUUCAUUCAGUGAAACUCCCAAGGCCAAGUGCCUUUUCAACACUGAGAAUCUCUUUGCCCACCAGUGACAAAAGUGGGUGGUGGAAUGGGCAUCAGCUGGCGUCAAGCUUUCGUGUCUCCAUUGCUAAAGGACUGAAGCCGGAUUUGCU
rnacentral:lncRNA from 1 species